rnacentral:lncRNA from 1 species
GGACAAGCAGGAAGUGGCCCCCUUUCCCCUCUGCUCUUCCUCCAGUUUCACCAUGUGAUCCACCGGCAAGGAGGACACCAAUGGAAGGCGUCCGAUAAGAUAAGUCUUAUAAAAUAUAUAGAUUUAUGAUGAUUGAGACUGAGCUAACAGAUGAGAAUCCUAGUCAUUGGCCAAGCAGCGUUUGUACCUAAUACAAGUCUCUGUAUUAUUUUGUUCAUCCACGUGGCGGGCAAAACUCAGGCGGCUGGCAGAGACCACCCUCGUGGUGGUAGGGCUUGGGCGGCUUUUGGCAGAAAGAUUUAUCGUAACAUACAUGUUGUAGAUGGAAUUACUGUUCCCCCUGGUUCCACAGCCCUUUAGCCCCAAAUAGACACACAGAGACUUAUAUUAAUUAUAAACUGUUUGGCCAAUGGCUCAGGCUUCUUAUUGGCUAACUCUCUCUCUCUCUUGUUUUUUUCCAUUUUUAAAAAUUAGAAACAAGAUUGUUUCACAUGUCAAUCCCAGUUCCCUCUCCCUCCCCUCCUCCCCUGCCCCCCACUAACUCCCUAUCCCAUACCCUUUCUGCUCCCCAGGGAGGGUGAGGCUUUCCAUGGGGAUCUUCAGAAUCUGUCAUAUCCUUUGGAACAAGGCCUAGGCCCUCCCCCGUGUGUCUAUGCUGAGGGAGUAUCUCUCUAUGGGGAAUGGGCUCCCAAUGUACAUUUCUAUACUAGAGAUAAAUACUAGAGAUCUACUAGCCAGAGGCCUCAUAGAUUGCCAAGGUCUCCUCACUGACACCCAUGUUUCUGGGGUCUGGAUCAGUCCUAUGCUGGUUUCCCAGCUAUCAGUCUGGGGUCCAUGAGCUCUCCCUUGUUCAGGUCAGCUGUGUCUGUGGGUUUCGCCAGCCUGGUCUUGACCCUUUUGCUCAUCACUCCUCCCUCUCUGCAACUGGAUUCUAGUUCAGUUCAGUGUUUAGCUGUGGGUGUCUGCUUCUACUUCCAUCAAGGCUAGCUCUCUCUUAUUAACCCAUAACUAUUAAUCUAUUUAUUUCUACAUGGCCUUAUCUUACUGGAGAAUGCCUGGUGUCCUAUCUUUCCAGUAGCUACAUGGCGUCUCCCUGGCAGCUUCUCUCUGUGUCCUCUCCCCAGAAUUCUCCUUGUCUGGUAGCCCCACUUAUACUUAUUGCCUGGCUACUGGCCAAUCAGUGUUUUAUUCACCAGCCAAUAAGAGAAAUUUAUAUACAGAAGGACACUCCCCAUCAAGAUGUGGCAGUACAUGCCUUAAGUUCCAGCAUUUGGGAGUCAUUUCUAUUACUUUGAGACAAGUCUGGUCUACAUUGCAAGUUCCAGGUCAAUCAGGGCUAGACAGUGAGACCCUAUAUCUCAGAGCGGUGGGGGGAGGCCUUUUAUUGACCCCAAUACUGCAAUGUCAAAAGAGGCACACAGUAGGAUAUCCCCCCAGCUAACACAUUAACAAGCCUGAAUGACCUGUGUAUAUAGCCAGAGAAGGGGUGUUCAGACUAAUCACAGCUCACCUCACAUCCUAAUGAAACUUUGUGUUUCAGUCAUAGUGCACCUCAUCCAAAUGAGGGUUUGUGUUUUCACCAAUCAUAUCCUUGCCUUUCAGGACUAAUCACAGCCGUCCCUCUGCCACACCUUCAGAGGAAGUGCUUUCCUCUGGCUCAGCAGACAUGGUUACAGAGCCAUGUAGAGUUCACCAAGGCUUGUGAGAGCAGAAAAUGAACAUCUCUUCAGAGCUUACAAUAAAGGACUUGAUGACCCUGUGGUUAACACUAACUUUUAAAAGGUUUUAAAACAAUGUUUAACAUCUUGCUGAAUUCUUCCGGGAGAGGUGGCUCCCCCCUUGUCUGUCUUGGAACUAUGAACUCCAUGUAUGCUAGACUGGCUCCCAAUACAGUGUGUAGACCUUCAAUCCCUGAUCCUCUUGCUUCCAUCUCUUGGGUCUUGGUAUUAUAUACACACACCGUCAUGCCCAGUUAUUUAGUGCUUUGUGCAUACUAGCUACAUUCCCAGUCCCUUAUUCUUAGAUAUUGUUGUUGGCUUGCUUCUUGUCUUAGUCUGCCUGGCUGUAAGAGCAAAAUAUCAAGGCUGGGCAGCUUAAAGGACAGAGACACAUCUUGUUACUGCUCUGUUGGGGGGGGGGCAAGGUCAAGGGGCUAUGGGACAGAGGAGAGGCACCAGCCUCUCCUGGGGCACUGGGGAAGACUAAACACUGUCAAACAUUGGUCAACGCUACUAAGUAUUGUUAACCACUAUUAAAACUGUUAGUCAUGUGCAGAUCUUUCUCUGUUUGUUAUGGUUAUUUAAAUGCAGUUGAUAGAGCCCUCGCUUGGGCAUGGUGGGCUUGAUUGGACCUUUACUAGAAACCUGACUGGGCCUUGAGUUGAUGGCGCACACCUUUAAUCCCAGCACUCGGGAGGCAGAGGCAGGUGGAUCUUUGUGAGUUCAAGGCCAGCUUGGUCUACAAAGCUACACAGAGAAACCCUGUCUUGAAAAAACAAAACAAAAGGCAACUCUGGGGAAAGAGGGUUUAUUUGGGUUACAAUUCAGGUCACAGUCUGUAGUCUUUGUUUGUUGUUUGUUUUUAGAAAUAAAGGCAGGAACUGAAUCAGCUAGUCACAUUACACAGACAGUCAAAAACAAAGAGAAUAAAUGUGGUGUUCCUUGCUUGUAUGGGAGCUUUCUCCACUUUCAUACAGGUUGAAGUUCCCUGCCUAUGAAGUGAUUCUGUUAUGGUCUGGAGUCGUUCAGAGAUUCCCCUGUCUGACCAUUAAUACAUUUUAACAAAGGAGAGGCCUUUCUUCACAUUCUGUACCAAAUGUAGCACCCAGUCGGGUCAGUCAGGGGUUUAUAAAGGCAAAGAACAUAAAGUUACAUUGUGUUUACAGGCAAGCAGAAGGUCAUCUUGAGCAAAACAAGCUUUUGUUUAUGAAAGCAAAAACAGCAGUUAACCUAUUUUACCUUGUAUAUACAACAGUUUUGUUAAAAUUUUGUAAGACCAGACAAUUACAAAAACAAUACUUAACACCCCUUAACAUUUGGAAGUCCAAUUUUGCUUUAUAGUUCUCUUAAGCGCAGUAAUUUUUAAAAAAACUUUUUGAAGGGAUUCUGGCCAAUUCAAGCAUGGCGAGCCUGGCCUGGCUCUGGCAGGCCUUGAAGCCCUUUUCCCCUUUGCCUCUGCUUUGAAAAAACAAAAAACAAAAAACAAAAAACAAAAAACAAAACCACCUGUUAGAUUACAUCCCUAAAUUUAGCCACACCACAAGGUCUUUCCCCUUGUUUGGACACUUUCCUAUGCCAGGUCCUUCCUGGUUAUGAAUACUGAAGCCCCCUUUGGCUCACCUAGUUAACAUGCCCAAUCAAAAUAUACCACCACAUCCUACAGACCUCCCCUUUUGUCUUCUCAGAAAUGACACCUGCAAGGUCAUUUGCUGCUGUUUUCUGUCUGAGUCAGAAAGCAGCCACUUCAACUUUUCUUUUCCACUUACUAAGGAUCUUUCUGUGAAAACAGGUGUUUGGUUUGUUUGGUUUGGUGUGGUUUGUACCUAAUCUGGGGUGAGAGGAAGCCUCUGCCGUGUUGUUCCCACGUGGGUGGGGGUGGGGCGUGAGGGUGGAGUGCCUCCUUCACUUUCCCCCAGUUUCCUCAUUGGCAGAGCAAUCGGGAGGCUACAGUCUUACACAUCAUCUGCAAUUUACAUUUGGUUUUUGUUUUUUUUUCAAUGAAAACCUCAGGAGGGUUUAUCUCUCUAUUUUAUGUGCUGCUGAUUUGAAGUGUGUUCUGGUACAUGACUUUCUUACAUCUGCAGGCUGUUAAGCAAGCGUGGCUGUUAAUAGUUUUCUAUGCGUUUAUUUAUUUUUUUAAAUGGUUGUGAGGCUGGAGAGAUGGCUCAGCAGUUAAGAUCGUUGACUGUUCAAUUCCCAGCACUGCCCCAAAAAGCUAUUUGCUUAUUUUUAUUUUAUUUGUAUGGGUGUUUGUCUUCGUGUAUAUCUGUGUACUCCGUGCACCCAAAGCCUGCAGUGUCCAGAAGAGGGCACUGGACUCCUGGAUCUAGAGUUACAAGCUGUAAACCACCAUGGGGAGGCUAGGGAUUGAACCCAGGGCCUCUGGAAGAGCAACUAGCACUGUUCAGUGCUGAGCCUUCUUUCCAGUCUAGUAAUCUUCUAUUCUAACUUCUGGUUUGAGGGAGGGGCUAGUCUAGUGGGGUUAGUGGAGCUCCAUUUUUCCUGUUCACUCGGGGCUGGAGCCAAGUUGACUCAAUGUGUAUUGAAAAGAACUUUUUUUUUUUUUUUUUAAAGAUUUACUUCUAUUAUUUUUAAUUAUGUGUGUGUUGUCUCUAUGGAGGUAUGUGCACACGAGUGUCAUGCCCUGGGAGACCAUAGGCCUAGGAUCCCCUGUAACAGGAAUUGCUGGCAAUUCUGAGCUGAUGUGUGGGUGCUGGGAAUGGAACUCAGUCCUUUGGAAAAGCAGCAAGUGUUUUCAACCUCUGAGCGAUCCCCCAGCCUGAAAAUGGACCAUUUUUUAACGUUUAAAUUUUAUUUAUUUGUUUAUCUACCUAUUUAUUUUUGAGGCAGAAUUUCUCUGUGUAACAGUCCUAGCUGUCCUGGAAUUCCCUUUGUGGACCAGGCUGGCCUUGAAAUCAGAGAUUCACCUGCUUCUGCCUUCUGGGAUUAAAGGCGUGUGCCGCCGCCGCCACCACCACCACCACCACCACCCAGAUAAAUUUUAUUUCAAGUGUAUGGGUGUUCUGCCUGUAUGUGUGUCUGUGUACUACAUGUGUGCCUGGUAUCGUCAAAGACCAGAAGGGUGUGUUGGAUCCCCUGGAAUUGGAGUUAUGGACAGUUAUAAACCACUAUGUGGAUGCUGGGAAUAGAACCCAACUACUCUGGAAGAACAACAAUUGUCCCUAACUGCUAGGCCAUAUCUCUAGUCUCUUUACUCUCUUUAAAAGUUAUUAAUUUUAUUGUAUUUGUAUGGGUUUUUUUACUUUUAUGGUCUCAUUUUCAUAUCUGUUUUAACCUUUUAAUUAGACUUAAAAUUGCAGGGUAUGGUGACACAUGCCUUUGAUCCUAACACUUGAUCAAUGAGGCUGUCAGAUCUCUGUGAGUUCCAGGCCAGCCAGGGCUACAUAUUAAGACAAAAACAAAACAAAACAAAACUUGUUUAAAUUUUUGAUAUCUCUGUUGAUUAGAACAGAUUCAAAAUUAAUCCAACCCACAUUUUUGUUUAUCAUUGAUCACUGUUUUGGUUAGUUAUUUGUGAACUUGGCACAAACUAGGGUCAUGUGGUAAAGGGGAAAGAAACACCAACGGAGGAAACGCCCCCAUCAGAUUGGCUUCUAGGCCAAUUUUCCUCAUUAACGAUUGAAAUGUGAGGACCCAGCCCCUUGUGGGCAGUGUUGGUCCUGGGAAGGCAGUCCUGGAUUGUUUCUGAAGGCAUGGGGACUGAGCCAGCAAGCAUGGUCCCAGAUUCAGAUUCUGCCUCCUGGUUCCUGCCCUGCUUUGAUCUCCUCAAUGAUGGAUAGCUACCUCAAGUUGUUUGACAAAGUAAACCUUUCCAAGUUGCUUUCGGUCAUGGUUUUUAUCACAGCAGUAGGCAGCAAACUGAGACUGAGAGACCCAGGCCCCAGGAAAUCCCUGACCCGCAGCCCCUACAGAGGCCCUGAUCGGCUCGGCUCCAGGCCCCAACCCAGUGAAAGAAACACACCCUAGAUUUGGGACCCCAGUCAUCGAAAGAGACACUUUAUCCCUAAGCCUAGAGCUAGAAAAAAACACCCAAACUCCGAAACUAGUGCCAAAAGAACACAAUUGCCCAGAGGCAGGCAGAUCUCUGUGAGUUCAAGGCCAGCCUGGUCUCCAGAGUGAGUGCCAGGAUAGGCUCCAAAGCUACACAGAGAAACCCUGUCUCGAAAAACCAAAAAAAAAAAAAAAAAACAAAAAACAAAAAAACAAAAAACAAAAAAAAAAAAAAAAAACAAAGGACACAAUUGUCCCCUAGAUUCAGGACAUGCAAAAGAAAUUUGCCCAGGCCCUAGAAUUGGAGCCAAAAACAACCACAGAAAGAAACACAAUUUGGACCUGGAAUCAGAGUCAUCUCUGCCUGCCCUCCCUCCCUCAAAACUAGCCAAUCCCUGAGCUAGAAAAACUGACCAAUCCCAGGCCAGCAGGCUUGGAAUUCCCCCUGGGUUUGGCAUGUCCUCAGGCUGGGAAUUCCCCACCUGGGAAUUUCCACCACUUCAUGGGGGCAGCCAAUGACCAUCCAGAGGGCUUGGAUUGGCUACCCUAGGCCCAGGGUAGCCAAUCAGCUCAGUCCAGGCUUGAGCCAGUCCCAAGGCUGUAACUAUGCAGUUUUGGAGGUCUUGAGCCAAUCACAAGCCUAUAGCUAGGCAGAUUUGUAAUUCCCCCAACCCUCCCUCUUGCCUGGCUACUAUAUAGACCCCCUUCCCUUGGGGCUCUGGGUCCCUCUUCUGCUCUGUUUCUGUCCCUGCCACCCCACUAGGGACAGACGAAGGGAGGGAUCCAAGUUAACUCGCAGAUGAGGACUUUGUGUUUGCUUCAGUGUCGGUCUUGUGGUGGUGAUUCGAUUCCAGAUUUCAGGUUUAACAAGACAACCACCAGAAUAAAGCUGAUUUCAGACCCUUCAGCUAUCUGGUUCUUAGCCUUAAACUCAUUUGAACACCUCUGUCAACUCCUCAUAGAGUUAACAAAGACAUGGGGACCUCCUCAUCCAAUAGCUAACUUUUGCUAAGAGGAGACUUGAAGACCGAGGUAAAGGGUAUGUGGAGUUGAAUGGGUGCAGAGGUCCCAUGCCAAUUGAACGAUAGGCUUGAGUUAGGUCUCCCCUGUACAUAUUGUCUUAGUUAAGGUUUACAUUGCUGUGAAGAGACACCAUGACCACAGUAACUCUUAUAAAGGAGGACAUUUAACAGGGCCUGACUUACAGUUUCAGAGGUUUAGUCCAUUGUCAUCACAGCAGGAGCCGUGGCAGUGUGUGCAGACCGACACGGUGCUGGAGAAGGAGCUGGGAGUUCUACAUAUUGCUCUGCAGGCAGCAGAUGGAGACUGUGCCACACUGGGCCUAGCUUGAACACAUAAGACCUCAAAGCCCAUCUCCACAGUGACAAACUUCUCCAACAAGGCCACAUCUCCUAAUAGUGCCACUCCCUAUGGCCAAGCACUCAGACAACAUGAGUCUGUGGGAGCCAUACCUAUUCAAACCACCACACCUUAAAUAUUUGUCUAUGAAGAGGGGAGCCAGAGAGUGGGCUCACCCUUGCCAGCACCCAAAACCACAGGCCUCUGAACUGGCUUUGGUCUCUGCUUCUGCAUAUGCCUUAGCUCAUAGCCAGACUCAGGCCCACUGCAAUUAUGUCCAUCAACUCAGGCCAGCAUCCAGACUUUCUGAAUUUUUUUUUUUCCUGAGCUAGCAGGGAUUUGCGUACAACAGGCUGGGAAAUGUAGGUGUCUGUGGCUCUUAUGUCUCUCACCUGGAGGACACAAGUGACACAAAAGUCACUCUCCUGCUAGGGAUUCCAAAUGACGAUUCACUGGUGCUUGCAGCUGACACCUCUUAAGCCUCAUGCAGAAACCCACACAUGUAUCUUGUUCUGGUGCAGAAAACCAAGCAAGAUGCAUGCUUGGGCUAUAUCUGUUGUAACAAGACCGUCUCUCCAAGAGGAACCUGUGUGGAAAGGUGGUUUGUUCAGGGCAUUGUGAUGAAUUUAGAAGAAAAAUUCAAGUUGGACCCCACCCCACCAGAAAAAAAAAUCUAACUAAAAGUCCAAGUGGAGCAAACACAGAAAUAAGCAAAAUUCAGCUGAUGAAAUGCUAUGGACAAUAGGAGCCAAAACCUUUUCACUCAAGGUAGGGAAGAAGAGCUCCAUGUUAACUUCUUUGUGGAGAACACCACUGCCUGCACAUCUGUGGGAAGCAGGCAGCACAGAGAAAUGGCUGUGACAGCUGGAGAAGCCUAUGGUCCUGCACGGAGAAGACAGUCUCUCUCAGAAGAGAUGGGACAAGCAGAGGUACUUGGCCUUUGCCAAGCUUAAGCAUUUGAUACUCAACUCCUGGAAAUCAGAUCUUGGAGGAAUUCUUAGCUGGGGAGAGUGAGAGGUGGAUGACUGUGAGGAGUUGAGGGAACUGCAGCCCUUUGUUGGACAGUAAGCUGAUGCCCAGUACCUCCAGGGGAGCCUCUGGCUCUGCCACCUGACUGUACAAUCUCUUGGCCUCUGUGUCUGAGGCUAAGAAGUUUGCAGAGUCCCAGCUCUCAAGCCCAGGCCCACUAGGGUCAUUGUGGAGACAGCUCAAGGCCUAGAGUGUUCUGCUAGAUCUGGGAAGCUGACCUCACUGUACCCAGGGUCAUUUCAUGCUCCUUUCUUGUUACUUUGAUUUCUAACUGCCCACUUGGGGUGCCAGCAUAUGACUGCAGCUGAGGCUCUAGUCAGGCUGAUUGGGG